GUUUGGUUAAGUUAGAAAGGGCGCACGGUGGAUGCCUUGACACUAGGAGUCGAUGAAGGACGGGACUAACGCCGAUAUGCUUCGGGGAGCUGUAAGUAAGCUUUGAUCCGAAGAUUUCCGAAUGGGGAAACCCACCAUACGUAAUGGUAUGGUAUCCUUAUCUGAAUACAUAGGGUAAGGAAGACAGACCCAGGGAACUGAAACAUCUAAGUACCUGGAGGAAGAGAAAGCAAAUGCGAUUUCCUGAGUAGCGGCGAGCGAAACGGAACAUAGCCCAAACCAAGAGGCUUGCCUCUUGGGGUUGUAGGACAUUCUAUACGGAGUUACAAAGGAACGAGGUAGACGAAGCAACCUGGAAAGGGCCGUCGUAGAGGGUAACAACCCCGUAGUCGAAACUUCGUUCUCUCUUGAAUGUAUCCUGAGUACGGCGGAACACGUGAAAUUCCGUCGGAAUCUGGGAGGACCAUCUCCCAAGGCUAAAUACUCCCUAGUGAUCGAUAGUGAACCAGUACCGUGAGGGAAAGGUGAAAAGCACCCCGGAAGGGGAGUGAAAGAGAUCCUGAAACCGUGUGCCUACAAAUAGUCAGAGCCCGUUAACGGGUGAUGGCGUGCCUUUUGUAGAAUGAACCGGCGAGUUACGAUCCCGUGCGAGGUUAAGCUGAAGAGGCGGAGCCGCAGCGAAAGCGAGUCUGAAUAGGGCGUUUAGUACGUGGUCGUAGACCCGAAACCAGGUGAUCUACCCAUGUCCAGGGUGAAGUUCAGGUAACACUGAAUGGAGGCCCGAACCCACGCACGUUGAAAAGUGCGGGGAUGAGGUGUGGGUAGCGGAGAAAUUCCAAUCGAACCUGGAGAUAGCUGGUUCUCCCCGAAAUAGCUUUAGGGCUAGCCUUAAGUGUAAGAGUCUUGGAGGUAGAGCACUGAUUGGACUAGGGGUCCUCAUCGGAUUACCGAAUUCAGUCAAACUCCGAAUGCCAAUGACUUAUCCUUAGGAGUCAGACUGCGAGUGAUAAGAUCCGUAGUCAAAAGGGAAACAGCCCAGACCGCCAGCUAAGGUCCCAAAGUGUGUAUUAAGUGGAAAAGGAUGUGGAGUUGCUUAGACAACUAGGAUGUUGGCUUAGAAGCAGCCACCAUUUAAAGAGUGCGUAAUAGCUCACUAGUCGAGUGACUCUGCGCCGAAAAUGUACCGGGGCUAAAUACACCACCGAAGCUGCGGAUUGAUACCAAUGGUAUCAGUGGUAGGGGAGCGUUCUAAGGACAGUGAAGUCAGACCGUAAGGACUGGUGGAGUGCUUAGAAGUGAGAAUGCCGGUAUGAGUAGCGAAAGACGGGUGAGAAUCCCGUCCACCGAAUGCCUAAGGUUUCCUGAGGAAGGCUCGUCCGCUCAGGGUUAGUCAGGACCUAAGCCGAGGCCGACAGGCGUAGGCGAUGGACAACAGGUUGAUAUUCCUGUACCACCUCUUUAUCGUUUGAGCAAUGGAGGGACGCAGAAGGAUAGAAGAAGCGUGCGAUUGGUUGUGCACGUCCAAGCAGUUAGGCUGAUAAGUAGGCAAAUCCGCUUAUCGU
rnacentral:rRNA from 1 species